AUACGUAGGGUGCGAGCGUUAAUCGGAAUUACUGGGCGUAAAGCGUGCGCAGGCGGUUGAUUAAGACAGGCGUGAAAUCCCCGGGCUUAACCUGGGAACUGCGCUUGUGACUGGAAGGCUAGAGUAUGGCAGAGGGGGGUGGAAUUCCACGUGUAGCAGUGAAAUGCGUAGAGAUGUGGAGGAACACCGAUGGCGAAGGCAGCCCCCUGGGCCAAUACUGACGCUCAUGCACGAAAGCGUGGGGAGC
rnacentral:rRNA from 1 species